UACGAAGGGGGCUAGCGUUGUUCGGAAUUACUGGGCGUAAAGAGCUCGUAGGCGGUUUGUCGCGUCUGCUGUGAAAACCUAAGGCUCAACCUUGGGCUUGCAGUGGGUACGGGCAGACUAGAGUGCGGUAGGGGUGACUGGAAUUCCUGGUGUAGCGGUGGAAUGCGCAGAUAUCAGGAGGAACACCGAUUGGGCGAAGGCAGGUCACUGGGCCGCAACUGACGCUGGAGGA
rnacentral:rRNA from 1 species